rnacentral:rRNA from 1 species
AGAGUUGAUCAUGGCUCAGGACGAACGCUGGCGGCGUGCCUAACACAUGCAAGUCGAGCGGAGUCAGUAAGAGGAAGUUUCGGAUGGAAUCUGUUGAUUAGCGGCGGACGGGUGAGUAACGCGUGAGCGACCAACCUUGCACAGGGGGAUAACGGACCGAAAGGUUCACUAAUACCGCAUGAGACCACGGUGUUGCAUGACACAGGGGUCAAAGGAGCAAUCCGGUGCAAGACGGGCUCGCGUCCGAUUAGGUAGUUGGAGGGGUAACGGCCCACCAAGCCUAUGAUCGGUAGCCGACCUGAGAGGGUGAUCGGCCACAUUGGAACUGAGAUACGGUCCAAACUCCUACGGGAGGCAGCAGUGGGGAAUAUUGGGCAAUUAGGGGGGAAACCCUGACCCAGCAACGCCGCGUGAAGGAAGAAGGUUUUCGGAUUGUAAACUUCUGUCCUUGGUGAAGAGAAGAAGACGGUAGCCAAGGAGGAAGCCCCGGCUAACUACGUGCCAGCCGCUGC